GAUGAAGAACGUAGUGAAAUGCGAUAAGUAAUGUGAAUUGCAGAAUUCAGUGAAUCAUCGAAUCUUUGAACGCACAUUGCGCCCGCCAGUAUUCUGGCGGGCAUGCCUGUUCGAGUGUCAUUACAACCCUCAGGCCCCCGGGCCUGGCGUUGGGGAUCGGCGGAGCCCCCCGUGGGCACACGACGUCCCCCAAAUGCAGUGGCGGUCCCGCCGCAGCUUCCAUCGCGUAGUAGCUAACACCUCGCGACUGGAGAGCGGCGCGGCCACGCCGUAAAACACCCAACUCUUCUGAAGUUGACCUCGAAUCAGGUAGGAAUACCCGCUGAACUUAAGCAUAUCAAUAAGCGGAGGA
rnacentral:misc_RNA from 1 species